GACGAACGCUGGCGGCGUGCUUAACACAUGCAAGUCGAACGAUGAAGCCUUAGCUUGCUUUGGUGGAUCAGUGGCGAACGGGUGAGUAACACGUGAGCAACGUGCCCAGGACUCUGGAAUAACCGCGGGAAACCGUGGCUAAUACCGGAUAGGUGCCGAGGCCGCAUGGUCUUCGGUUGGAAAGUUUUUGCGGUUCUGGAUCGGCUCACGGCCUAUCAGCUUGUUGGUGGGGUAAUGGCCUACCAAGGCGACGACGGGUAGCCGGCCUGAGAGGGUGACCGGCCACACUGGGACUGAGACACGGCCCAGACUCCUACGGGAGGCAGCAGUGGGGAAUAUUGCACAAUGGGCGCAAGCCUGAUGCAGCAACGCCGCGUGGGGGAUGACGGCCUUCGGGUUGUAAACCUCUUUUAGUAGGGAAGAAGCGCAAGUGACGGUACCUGCAGAAAAAGCACCGGCUAACUACGUG
rnacentral:rRNA from 1 species